UGCCUCUGGGGUCCCCAGGCAGAGAGAUGUCCAGAAACACAAUCUAUUACCAGGCCACUGGAAAUGCACUGGUUCAUUUGCUUCUUUACAUAGACUGAUUCAAAGCUUGUUAUUGCCCAGCUGUGAAUGUCACAGACAUAGUCCCAGUGCCAAAUUUAGCUGAGUCUGAUGAGAUCAAGAAACAGCUUAAAGUGACCAGAACAGGCAGAUAUAGGCAUGUCUAGUGUUAUUUCCAUGGAUGCAAUUAAUCAAAGUAGUCCAAAGGCUUUUUUCUUUCAGUGUUUUUGGCUUUCUUUAUUCAAGGGAUAAAGAAAAUCCAAUUCUUUCCCUCUGUGCUUAAAAUUGGUUUAGACUUCUUAACUGACACAGGUUCUCAUUGACACUUUACUUUCUCAGUGGAGCUCUGAUGAGAGCUGGUCCCUGAUUUCAGCUCUUCUUUGCAGUAACCUGGGAAAGAAAACAAACUCACCAGGACUGCCAGCAUGGGCAUCUGUCACACGGCACACAGAGGAGAGAAGGUGGCCCUUCAGAGUUUUAGUAGAAGAAAGAGAUACUGCUGUUGAUGUCACACUUGAUGAAUGGAUGGAUCCUGCUCAACCAGCAGCAAAUACAACCCUGCUUCUUGGCUGGUGAAAGGAAUAUGAAGUGGAC
rnacentral:lncRNA from 13 species